GAGAAAUGAAAAUCAUUAUCAUAACCCCCCUCUUUGUUAUCGAAGUUGAUCUUAAUUGCGAUUGGAAUCAUACUACUUUCCGAUUUCUUUUUCAAGCUUUUGUGGUUUUCAUUAACAGACGUUGAAGGGUUUUGGGCGAAAAAGAAGUGGAAAACUCCCUUUUGCUAGCAAGGGUAGUGGUGCAAGAAUUAGGCGGGUUUGGAAGUAACCCUGCACCGGACUGGAAAGCACGGCAAUUGAUACC
rnacentral:lncRNA from 1 species